CGUUAAGUAGACCGCCUGGGGAGUACGGCCGCAAGGUUAAAACUCAAAUGAAUUGACGGGGGCCCGCACAAGCGGUGGAGCAUGUGGUUUAAUUCGAUGCAACGCGAAGAACCUUACCUGGUCUUGACAUCCACAGAAGAAUCCAGAGAUGGAUUUGUGCCUUCGGGAACUGUGAGACAGGUGCUGCAUGGCUGUCGUCAGCUCGUGUUGUGAAAUGUUGGGUUAAGUCCCGCAACGAGCGCAACCCUUAUCCUUUGUUGCCAGCGGUUAGGCCGGGAACUCAAAGGAGACUGCCAGUGAUAAACUGGAGGAAGGUGGGGAUGACGUCAAGUCAUCAUGGCCCUUACGACCAGGGCUACACACGUGCUACAAUGGCGCAUACAAAGAGAAGCGACCUCGCGAGAGCAAGCGGACCUCAUAAAGUGCGUCGUAGUCCGGAUUGGAGUCUGCAACUCGACUCCAUGAAGUCGGAAUCGCUAGUAAUCGUGGAUCAGAAUGCCACGGUGAAUACGUUCCCGGGCCUUGUACACACCGCCCGUCACACCAUGGGAGUGGGUUGCAAAAGAAGUAGGUAGCUUAACCUUCGGGAGGGCGCUUACCACUUUGUGAUUCAUGACUGGGGUGAAGUCGUAACAAGGUAACCGUAGGGGAACCUGCGGUUGGAUCACCUCCUU
rnacentral:rRNA from 1 species